AAGUUUGAUCCUGGCUCAGGACGAACGCUGGCGGCGUGCCUAAUACAUGCAAGUCGAGCGAGCUUGCCUAGAUGAAUUUGGUGCUUGCACCAAAUGAAACUAGAUACAAGCGAGCGGCGGACGGGUGAGUAACACGUGGGUAACCUGCCCAAGAGACUGGGAUAACACCUGGAAACAGAUGCUAAUACCGGAUAACAACACUAGACGCAUGUCUAGAGUUUAAAAGAUGGUUCUGCUAUCACUCUUGGAUGGACCUGCGGUGCAUUAGCUAGUUGGUAAGGUAACGGCUUACCAAGGCAAUGAUGCAUAGCCGAGUUGAGAGACUGAUCGGCCACAUUGGGACUGAGACACGGCCCAAACUCCUACGGGAGGCAGCAGUAGGGAAUCUUCCACAAUGGACGCAAGUCUGAUGGAGCAACGCCGCGUGAGUGAAGAAGGGUUUCGGCUCGUAAAGCUCUGUUGGUAGUGAAGAAAGAUAGAGGUAGUAACUGGCCUUUAUUUGACGGUAAUUACUUAGAAAGUCACGGCUAACUACGUGCCAGCAGCCGCGG
rnacentral:rRNA from 1 species